GUUUUAUUGAAAUUCAAUUUUCACAGAAGGAAGAGAAAGAGCUGUAUGCUGCAGUAAGACAGAAAAGAAGGUCAAAAGGAUGAAAAAAUCACCCAUUUGACACUCCGUGAAGCAGAGACAAGCUGUACCCAUCAAGGACUUCCCAAGGUCACAGAGUACCUGUCAAUUACAGAAUCACUGCCUGCACCAAGAUGGCAAUAAGAAGUUACAAUUUCAGCUAAGUCAUUCAAAAAAUGAUGACCACCAAGAGUGCUAUUUUUAACAGAAGGUAAUUCAAAGACAUAAUGAAGUUUUAGAACUACGAACUAUCAAUUGAAUGCUCUAUGCUUGGGAAACUGAGCUUGGCACUUGGGAUGAAAAGAUCACUAAUAAGAUAAAAUUUCUCCUUUAGAGGAAGAAGAUACACUUAUGUUAUCAAUGGAUAAUAUAUAACCCAAAUCAUAAAGAACAGGAUAAAGGGACAACUCCUUAGUGAGGAUUUCCUCGGGCUAUUACUGCUUCUGUUGAUCUGUCUUGCUGCUGGCUGUGUUAUCCUAAACCUGGGACAUAAAGAAGAUCACAAAUACACUCUCUUCCUGAUACUAUGUCAAUGACAGUAAUUAGUCUGCGGGAUUCUUCGCCUCCUCAUUCAAAUGCAAAGUUUUCAAAAUUUUCUAGACAAUGUUACUGAAAGAAAUGAAAUGUUGUUGCUGUAAAUGAAACCCUACUCUCCAAAAUGAACCAAAAGACUGGACUGGUGAAAAGUACACGGGGUUUUAUUUUCAAAGGUAAGAUGAGUAGUUUGU